CACGAAGACUAUCACCCGACGCGAGAGAGGCGCAGAUUAAUUACAGUAAUUACCGAUGACAUGCGAAGAAUGGAACCUGUGUUAUAUAGGUUCUUCAGGCAGAGGUGGAUUACCAGAAUUCAUAAGCAUUCUGAAAGCUCAAGUGCGACGUUCCCGCUACUCAUCAGAAACAUCUACAAGUGCAGAAAGUUUGCAGUCCCAACCAUGAACCCGGGGAAAAUCCUGUUGUUCGUUAUGGCGGUGGUCGUCGUAUGUGUCUCAUAUGCUUUGGCAGAAGAAGAAUGCCUCGCACCUGGGCCUGGCUGCGUCUAAAAAUCAGUAAAUCCAUAAAACCUCCCUCGGUAUUUUGGCAGUGACUUCAGACCUUCAAAUUGAUUUCAGAAACAAAUUUGAUGCGGUUAUUCUCCAGAUGAAAAAUUUCUUACGAUGUUAUUAUUUCGAUUCAGUUGAUUCCUAGUUAUUUCAAAAUAAAUCUCACUUCAAAAUCUGA